UUCGGCUUAGAGUUUGAUCCUGGCUCAGAUUGAACGCUGGCGGAAUGCUUUACACAUGCAAGUCGAACGGCAGCACGGGGGCAACCCUGGUGGCGAGUGGCGAACGGGUGAGUAAUACAUCGGAACGUGCCCAGUCGUGGGGGAUAACUACGCGAAAGCGUAGCUAAUACCGCAUACGAUCUACGGAUGAAAGCGGGGGAUCGCAAGACCUCGCGCGAUUGGAGCGGCCGAUGGCAGAUUAGGUAGUUGGUGGGGUAAAGGCUCACCAAGCCUGCGAUCUGUAGCUGGUCUGAGAGGACGACCAGCCACACUGGGACUGAGACACGGCCCAGACUCCUACGGGAGGCAGCAGUGGGGAAUUUUGGACAAUGGGCGCAAGCCUGAUCCAGCCAUUCCGCGUGCAGGAUGAAGGCCUUCGGGUUGUAAACUGCUUUUGUACGGAACGAAAAAGCCUCCUCUAAUACAGGAGGUCCCAUGACGGUACCGUAAGAAGAAGCACCGGC
rnacentral:rRNA from 1 species